rnacentral:tRNA from 1 species
UGUAUAUAGCUCAGUGGUAGAGUACUUCACUAGCUUAUAUGAGGCUCUGGGUUCAAUUCCUAGUAUGGCAA